rnacentral:tRNA from 1 species
UCCCUGAUAUUUCAGUUGGUAGAGCACUCCACGGUUAAUCGAGUUGUCACAGGUCCGAGCCCUAGCCCUGUUCGGGGGGCCA